rnacentral:rRNA from 1 species
UGCGUAGGCGGACUAAUAAGUCAGUGGUGAAAUCUCUCGGCCCAACCGGGAAACUGCCAUUGAUACUGUUAGUCUUGAGUUCGGUUGAGGUAGGCGGAAUGUGUAAUGUAGCGGUGAAAUGCUUAGAUAUUACACAGAACACCAAUUGCGUAGGCAGCUUACUAGACCGACACUGACGCUGAGGCACGAAAGCGUGGGUAGCGAACAGGAUUAGAUACCCUGGUAGUCC